rnacentral:RNase_P_RNA from 1 species
GGAGCGGGUUGGACCGCCGCUGGUGGCCGGUUUGGCCGUUUGGUCAGACCGGGCACGGGAGGAAAGUCCGGGCUCCGCAGGGCAGGGCGCCGGGUAACACCCGGCGGGGGCGACCCCAGGGAAAGUGCCACAGAAAGCAAACCGCCGGCCAGGGACAACCCGCCGGUAAGGGUGAAAGGGUGCGGUAAGAGCGCACCGCGCCUCCCGGUAACGGGGGCGGCACGGUAAACCCCGCCUGGAGCAAGACCAAAUAGGGGGAGGCCAUGAAUGGCCCAUUCACUCCCCGGGUCGGUCGCUGGAGGUGGUCGGCAACGAUCAUCCUAGAGGAAUGGCGGUCAUACCGAUCUCUGCGGGGAGAGAGAUCGGGAGACAGAACCCGGCUUACAGACCCGCUCCGACU